UCUCCGGCUGAACAGCAGCGAGCCCGCGGAUCUGGCCUCCCAGGAGUGGAAGAAACGAGGAGCAGGCGCCGCCCGAUGGGGGAGGAGAUGGCGCCCAGGGAGAGGGGUGGCAGCGGCCCCUCUGCCUACCACCGAGCUCUGGGAGAAACAUGGCGGCGUCGGCAGAGAGCAUGGGAGCGACAACGGUGACUGGAUGCCAGGAGCUUGACGAGGUCCAUGCCGGCAGCAUCUUUGCCCUCAACCUUGCUGGCGGCGUGGCUGUACAAACGGCGCCGGUCGAGGGCGGAGAAGGACAUGCUGGCAGCAGAGGUGAUGGCAACACGCACCAGACCUCUGGCUUCCCCAUCAAGGGCGAGGAGCUCAUUCGGAUCGUCACCAAGAACUACUGCCAUCUUGUUCCUGGCAGCUCAGUAAGCUUGCUAUCCUUGCUAUUAACCUCAUUAUUUCUGGUGGUGGUAUAAUUUAAUAGAACUACAUAAUGAGCUGUGUGCAUCGGAUUGUGUUUACUGUUCAGGCGUCGUGGAUUCAAAGAGCUCAGUUCUGGUAAGCAAGACCCUGAGGUGUGCAGCAAGUAUGUGGAGGUUAAGGAGUGUGCCCAUGUGAAUCUUUAUUUAGUUGCAAUACAACAUAAUGAGCUACCUGAGUCCGAAACUUAAUUUGCAAAUUAGCUAUUGCAAAGGGAUGAACGGGUAGAACAUAUGGAGAAUGCAAUUAGCCCCGGCAAAUAAACCGGCUUCCAUAUCCUAGGCAAUAAUCUCCAAAGGGAAGUGGAGGAUGAACCUGAGUUGGAACAGGCUUAGUGAAACAGACAUGUCACAACACGACACUUAAGUGCCCAAGACCGAUAUAUAGGACGGCAAGUCAAAAUGUAUUAUCAAACGAAACAAGUUGCAGCUAGCAACAAUUGCUCUACUAGGCCAAUGUCAUGUCAAGCCUGCAAUCUGAUGCUAGGGAUUCACUUCUUUAUUUGGUGAUAUUCAGGAGGAGGUUUUACAGUUUGAUGUUUUGAAUUUAACAAUUAUGUUUGAGAGGACCCUUGACAUCAAUGAAAUUGCAGUGAUAUUCAGACAAUUUUAAGAAACACAUGCAAAGGAGUCCAAACGGGCUUGGCGUACAUGGUUUUCAGUUAACAUGUCUUAUUUUUGCAGUGAGUGAUCGACAAAGGAAGCACAAGGAAAAGAGCAAGCCAAUACAUUGAUGGAUUGGGCGACUUGUUCCUGUUAGUUUCUCUAUUGGCAAAGAACAAAAUCCUAUUAAUUAAUUUGUGUGUAUGCAUAAUGUGAUAGUUAAUCAAUGGGCUGUGUAUGGUGACAUAAUGAUAAUACAUUUUGAAACUAAUACUAUUUGUGUAGUUUAGUUUUGCUAGAUAGUGUGUGCUAAAAAAGUAUUCAGUUUAUGUACAAGAUCAGGUUCAUUUGUCUUGCUUAUCAUGAUUGGCUUAAAACAUAUGUUGGUAUUUAUUAGAAAAUAUCUUUGUGCUUGGGUCAGGUGUGAAAAAUGUCGAAAAUGGUGAUGUUCUCUUUUAUGGAUUAGAGUGCCAAAUUGUUUUGUAUAUCAUGUGGCUAAAAUCAAGUUUAGCGUCUUCUUUUGGUGUCCAUUUUCUACUUGUUUCCAGAUCUUUGUGUUUUGAUGCCAUGCCAGCUGCUAAUACAAAGUUUCUCAUGCUACAAGACUUUUCUGGGAGCAAAAAGUUGGGCUAUACAGUCUGCACUACUAUGCUUUGGAAAUAUAGCAUAUGACGAGCAGACGGGUAAAGAGGUUGAAGUUGGAUCUGCAGGGCAUGGUCCACUGGCCAAUUCUUCUUCUCUACCUGGAGGUGGUAUCGAGUGACUUCAUGAAGCAGAUAUUCGGCUUCUGCAUUACAAUAUUCAUUUUCAUAAAUGCAGAAAUAGUUUGUAUCAUGAUUUCUUAAAAAAAUCCAGAGGUUUGCCCCAUACCAAGAAAACAUUUGAACCUUAACCUACAUAUGUGCAUAUAAGCUUAAAAACAUGGAGCUGCCAAUGUUCACCUAACAACUUGAAUGCAGCAGAAAGUGUUCUCUAAAUCUGGGUUCAGUGUAGAAAUUAAUGCGGUUCGUACAAAUUUAAAUUAUGGUCCAGCUAUUUUUUUUUUCAUACACCAUUAUUUGAUACAAAGUUCCUAAUGAUACUGACUUGUCGAUAAUAAUGCUUUCAAUUAUUUGGAACAUAUGCUGAAAACUGACUUCAUAUAACAUUGUCAGAAGCAAGUCUACAACAUAUACUUAGAUCAUUCCUGAUUACUCUUUUCUAUUUGAAUUACUAUGCCUAAUUGAUAUAUUAAAUAUUGCAUCUUCUCAUUUGACAUGUAGUUCUGCAGUUGUGUCCAUUUCACCUGCUCUUUUAAUGAUGCCAUCAUGAUUCCUCCUUUUCUUUGCUUGGUGUAUGUUUAUUCAAUGGUCCAGUUGGUGUUCCAAAAACAUGCUCGAUUGUUAUAUGUAUCAAAUACAGUCUCUUCCAGUGGUGGACAUUAAUUUCUCUCCCUUUCUUGACCCUGCAUAUCUCUGAAGAAGUGCUAAGCUCCACUGAAUUUGGUCAUGUUGGGCACCACCGUCAUCAUACCAAGCAUGCUUGUUCCUCAAAUGGGAGGUGGAAAUGAGGAGAAAGCUCGGGUAAUCCAGACACUCUUCUUCAUCACCGGCAUAAACACCUUACUGCAAACAUUCUUCGUGUCUUCACUCCCGUCAUGAUGGGUGGCUCCUACACCUUUGCCAUGCCAACCAUCUCCAUCAUCUUGGCCGAACGCUAUGACAGUGUGGCAGAUCCUCGUGAGGAGUUAAAGGACUGAUUGGUAGCUCUGCAUGCCGUUGGUAUAUUGAUGAUGACUUGACUCAGAUCAAUUAUUUCCAUGCUAGGUAUGUUCUCUUUCUAUGUCUUUCCCAUCGAUACCCUAUUUCCAUUCAUUUUUAGUUGAUGUGCCUAUUACUGUUGAAAUUGCCCUCGUUGUUAACCAAAAGUUCAGCCUUGUGGUUUCUAUUUCCAGCAAAAGCUUUCAGCCUACAAGCAUGCAGCUGUCCUUCCAGGUUAUCAGGAUUAAUCAUGCCUUCAAGCCUAAGCUAGGUCCCUUUGGGAUUUGGUGCUACUUCACAUGCUUCUGGAGCGUCAUCUUCUGUUGAAAGUUAUGGCGAGGCAUUGCCUGUUCUCACAUAUUUUCCUAUGGUCCCACCAUGCACGCCCUCAUCAAAGGAUGUACACAACUCACAUGGUUUAUCCUCACCUGGCGAGCGGCUCUGGAUGAGGUGUGAUCAUUACUUCUUCCCUCUCUACUUUCUUCUUACCAUGAUCUGGUUGUUACAUUGCAUAUGUACCAGAUGAACACCCCUAUAUCUACACUGGAUGGAAAGGGACAGGCUCUUGUGGUUAAACACCUAGCAAAUCACCAUGCCCUAAGAGUGCUCAUUGCAAACUCUUUGCUUCGCCUUCCAAGACCAAGGGAGCUGCACCACCUGAGUCUAUGGCCAAGGCUGCUACCCAGGCUGAAGGAACUGCUUCUACUAGAGAUGUUGUUGACCCUGCAUCCAUAGAAAAUGUUGUUUGAUACCCAUUUUGUUUUUUUUCCUUCUGCACAAUACAUGCUUGAUUUACAUAACCAUCUCAUGGUAGGAAACUAAACAAGAUUUACAUAACCAUCUCAUUUAACUAGCUUGAUAUAAGAUGUGCGCGUGCGCGCGUGUGUGUGUGUGCGUGUGUGUGCGUGCGUGCGUGCGUGCGUGCGUGUGUGUGUGUGUGUGAGAGAGAGAGAGAGAGAGCGCGCUAAUGAAUUUAAUGCGACAACUAUUGUUGUUCCUUUAGCAUGUGUUUCUUAAAAUCCAGUGGACCAUGUCUUCGUUUUUACAACAGAAAUAAUGCCUCUUCUUCUUCACUGAUACAUGCUAUUUGAUCAUCCUUUCUUUUUUCUCACUGCUGCAUGUAAGUUGAUUAACUAUGUAAUGUAAAUAACUUUUACUUUCAGGGUUAAGUAGGUGAUCUAUUUCAUGUUUAAUGUUGCUCUCAUUUGUUUGUUGUCGCAUGUGCAGCCAAUCCUUACUGUUGCUCACUGAUACAUACAAGUUAACUAGACUUUUAUGUUUCUCAAUGAUACAUACAAGCUAAUUAGCCAACUAAUUAGAUGAACUGUGCUUUCAGCUUUCAGCGUUCAGCCAUUUAUGUUGUCCUCUGUUUGCUAUUGCAAACCCUUAUGUCCUUGUUCUUUUUAUUUCAUUAUAUGCCUCUACGUUGUUUACACCAAAAAUCAAAUUAUCACUUGGUUGAUAUUUCUGCUAAUCAAUGCAUCAUAGGUCUAAUGCUGAUGCCAAUGCGUCGGCUCUGCAAAGAAAGCAAGGCAGUAGCUCUUCCAUGCUCUAGGUUCAUGUAUCUAUACAUUGAUAUUUCUGCUAAUCAAUGCAUCAUAGGUCUAGUGCUGAUGCCAAUGCGUCGGCUCUGCAAAGAAAGCAAGGCAGUAGCUCUUCCAUGCUCUAGGCAGGUCAGCAUGCAGCAAAGCAGUGACAGUAGCCACACAACCAACGACAUCAAGCAGCAAACAACAUGCAAAGGCUAUUUCUCACCCUGCUGUUAGUGGCAAGGUCCGAUGGAGCGGAGCAACGAGCUCCGGACAGCGACAAUGGCGGUCAACGUCGAGGAAGAAGCAGGAGGAACCUGCGGCUUCGAAUCCGUGGUCCAGAGGAGACGUGGACAACGCGUAGCCCGUCAUGGUCCCUGGCGUUGUUUGGUGAGGAGGAUGACCGCGACGACAUCACAGCGGUGGCCGGCAGAACAGAGGAAGGGGGCCUCGGUCCAAGAGGUUCCUGCACGCCAGCGCCCAGAAUCACCAUUAAAGGUAAGUUGGAGCAACAAUGGAGCUAGGGGAGCUACCUACGAGCAAAUAACACACUGGAAAAACGAGGUGGUUCACGGCGACGGCCAGCGGGCGUGCAUGUCGGAGCCGGAGGCGUUGACGUCGAUCCAGAACGAGGGCGGACGUAUCCUGCCGAUUCCUGUGGCUGGCGUUGUAACAAACAGCGUCCCCGGCGAGCUGGACUGAGAAAGGGGAUCCAAGAGAAAAGGAAAUGAAGUGAGGAGGGAAGUAUUGGGGUGGAGUAGGAGAUAAGGUGAAGGGGCAGGGGUCUGCGGGCACGCAUGGUGUGUCCCUGCGAUGCUGGACUGACCCAAGAGACCCACUGGUCAGUGGCAACGGGAGGGGUUGAAAGAAAAUAAAAACAAAUACAAUUGACUGGAAUAUCUUUCUCCUUUACUCCUUACUAGCUAAUUGCCCGUGCGUUGCAGCGGGGCCUACCUAUUCUAUUGGUUCAACACCAAUUGGUGUCUCACUCCUCCUUCGUUCUGUCAUUUCUCCACCGCUCUAAUCCAAACUCAUCACCUCUGUCAAUGAUCCAUCUGGCUCACAAUUUCCUGCUUCACCCCCACACCCCCAUCCAAACACAUACUUCAAAUUUUUGGGGGAAGACAAUGCCUCCAAUAAUAUUUGAUCUCUAUCAUUGUGCAUCCAAUCUAUUCAUCUCACUGUAUUACCAAACGAUCAUAUGCAUUAUAUUUGCCACCACAAAAGAGGGAAAUAGUGUCAUGAAAAUUGACCAACCAUGAUCAUAUUGACAAACCAUGUUCUUGUAUAGAAUUUAGUUGAUUGCAUAAUAGAGUCAGUUAUUUUGUUAUCAAUUAAUUUUAAUCAUUUUGUAAUAAUUAAUUUUACCUUUCUAGCAGAAUAUGUUGUUUUCAUGAAAGAGAAAAAAGUACGCUGAUGACAAGCUUCAUGACAGAUUUGACAGUUAUUAGGAAAAUCAUGUAAUGUAUGUAGGUUCAGUCCAGGAACAAAACAAAUGUACACUAUGAUGGCAAGCUUUGUGAGAAGAUGGCACAGUAUAGUCAA